rnacentral:lncRNA from 10 species
CUGGUGUGCAACUGAAGGGAGGAGGGAGCAGGCGUUCCUCUGCUGCUGAAGAGGGCUGUGGAAACUUAAGUCAUAGACAUGCUUCAGUGAGAGGAUGAGGAUUUGCCCAGAUGGGAAGCUUCAAGUGCAGAGGCACUUGUACAUCUACUUAUCUUGAGUCUCAAUGAUGCUGUUUAUGAGUGAGCUAUUCAAAUGGAGGAAGAAACCCACGGAGAAGGAGAAAUAACAGGUCGGAGUGAUUAUGUACAGAAGGAUAGGCUCUAGCAGGAGUCCAGUGGGAAAGAAGGAAGGGAAUACAAUUAAGAAUUAUUAAUGGCAGAUCUCUAAUGAUUUCACUGGAUCCAAAGGAACAGGGCAAUACUGAGUAAGAAACACUUGAUAUACGAAAAAAGCGUGAGUGCGAAGGAAAAUACAUCAUUCUACAGAUGUUGACGGACUCUGACGGUGGGAAAGCGUCCCUCAAGAUUGAAUUGGAGUAGAAGCUGACCCUCCCACUUGCCCAGAGAUCCCCUAGCUGGAUACGAUUUCAGCAAUAGAACACUUGAUCAUCACAGUGCUUGGCAUAUACUUUCCUGAUCAAUUUCAUCACACAAGCUGGCAGCUAUGGGCAGUGAGGGAAGGAAGGGGCAAUCUCCUCACUAGACAGCCGUGCCAAGGUCACCCUGGUCCAUCCAUGAGCAGAAAAAUCAAACGCCCAGAGAGGUCAAGAUGUCUGCAAAGAGACACAGAGUGAUGCAAUGGAAAUCCUGUGUGGAGGUCUCCAGAAGGCUAAUUUCUGAAGCAGUGUUCUAUCCACAUGACCGUGCUGCUGCUCAUUAAGAUGGUACCUCUCAUUAAGAUAAAGCAUAAUCAUUAAAAAUCCUUUAGCUUGCUCACAUUAACUACCAUUGUGCGUCACAGGUCUAAUGCUUCAUGAAAGCUCAGAGUGAAUUAGACAUUUUAUUUAAGUGCUACUUAACUAAAAGUUAAAAAGUAUAAUUUUCUAUUGCAGCAUAAGAACUGGAGAGACUAAUUUGGUGUGGUUGUUAAAUUUUACAAAGCCUGAUUCUCAAUUUUCAAAAAAUAUUGUACAUUUAUUUAUUGAAGUGAAUGAAACAUUUGCUAUAAAACUAUUCAACGGAAAGUUUUUUAACAAAGCAUAAUUUACUUUUCAUUUACAGAACAAUGGAAAGUAGAAAGAAAUCUCCUCCAAGGUAUUAGAAUCAUGUACAGUUUCAUAUUUGACUAAAAAAUUAUUUCCCCAGCCUGUUUUCUCAACACUAAGGAUAUGCAGAAAAGUAUCACUUGCAUUCAUCAUGAAAAUUACAGAAAAAUGACUGAAACUACUGAGAACAUUAUUAAAUAAAACAUAUACUUAUUAUCUGU